UACGUAGGGUGCGAGCGUUGUCCGGAAUUAUUGGGCGUAAAGGGCUCGUAGGCGGUUUGUCGCGUCGGGAGUGAAAACCCAGGGCUUAACCCUGGGCUGGCUUCCGAUACGGGCAGACUAGAGGUAUGCAGGGGAGAACGGAAUUCCUGGUGUAGCGGUGAAAUGCGCAGGAUAUCAGGAGGAACACCGGUGGCGAAGGCGGGUCUCUGGGCCGAAACUGACGCUGAGGAGCGAAAGCGUGGGGAGCAAACAGG
rnacentral:rRNA from 1 species